UGUCCAUGGGAAUCGAACCCACACCCUUCUGCUUACCGGGCAGGUGCCUUGUCCACUCGGCUACCCUGGAC